AUUAUACAGCGAAACUGCGAAUGGCUCAUUAAAUCAGUUAUCGUUUAUUUGAUAGUGCCCAUCUACAUGGAUAACCGUGGUAAUUCUAGAGCUAAUACAUGCGUAAAAGCGCGACUUCGGGAGCGCUGUAUUUAUUAGAUUAAAGACCAAUGCCCUUCGGGGCUCACUGGUGAUUCAUGAUAACUCCUCUGAUCGCACGGCCUUGCGCCGGCGACGGCUCAUUCAAAUUUCUGCCCUAUCAACUUUCGACUUUAGUGUAGUGGACUAAAGUGGUUGCAACGGGUAACGGAGGGUUAGGGCUCGACCCCGGAGAAGGAGCCUGAGAAACGGCUACUACAUCCAAGGAAGGCAGCAGGCGCGCAAAUUACCCAAUCCCGACACGGGGAGGUAGUGACAAUAAAUACUGAUACAGGGCUCUUUCGGGUCUUGUAAUCGGAAUGAGUACAAUCUAAAUCCUUUAACGAGGAGCAAUUGGAGGGCAAGUCUGGUGCCAGCAGCCGCGGUAAUUCCAGCUCCAAUAGCGUAUAUUAAAGUUGUUGUGGUUAAAAAGCUCGUAGUUGAACCUGGGCCCCGUCCCGGCCGGUCCGCCUCACCGCGUGCACUGGUUCGGGAGGGGCUUCGCACCUUGGGGGUACGCAUGCCCUUCGCUGGGCGUGCGGGGAACCAGGACUUUUACUGUGAAAAAAUUAGAGUGUUCAAAGCAGGCCUAUGCUCGAAUACAUUAGCAUGGAAUAAUGAAAUAGGACGUGCGGUUCUAUUUUGUUGGUUAUGGGACCGCCGUAAUGAUUAAUAGGGACAGUCGGGGGCGUCAGUAUUCGGUGGUCAGAGGUGAAAUUCUUGGACCCACCGAAGACUAACUACUGCGAAAGCAUUCGCCAAGGAUGUUUUCAUUAAUCAGGAACGAAAGUUAGGGGAUCGAAAACGAUCAGAUACCGUUGUAGUCUUAACCAUAAACUAUGCCGACUAGGGAUCGGGCGAUGUUGCUUACUGACUCGCUCGGCACCUUUCGAGAAAUCAAAGUCUGUGGGU
rnacentral:rRNA from 1 species